rnacentral:tmRNA from 1 species
GGGGAUGUUCUUGGAUUCGUCAGAAUUAAAUUGGUUAAAUAAGCAUGUCUUGGUUGUGCAAGUAAAAACACCCGAGGUUUCAAAAUAACCGGAAACAAUAAUUUUGCCUACGCUUAAGAAAAAGCGUAAUCUCUAAUUAGACCAACUUACAGUUUAAUUUAGAGUCCAGAAAGUAAGUUAUAUUUGCUAUUUGCCGCCUUAAGAUAGUAAACGAAACAAUAAGGCUAGCGCUAGGAUAAUGUGAUCUUUCAUGAUUUUAGUGCCAAAUAAAAUAAAGAUCUAAACAUGUAGAAAGUUUAAUGCAGUUUACUUUUGCACAGGGGUUCGAGUCCCCUCAUCUCCACCA